rnacentral:rRNA from 1 species
AUUGAACGCUGGCGGCAGGCCCAACACAUGCAAGUCGAACGAGUGGCGGACGGGUGAGUAAUGUCUGGGAAACUGCCUGAUGGAGGGGGAUAACUACUGGAAACGGUAGCUAAUACCGCAUACCAUCAGAUGUGCCCAGCUGGGAUUAGCUAGUUGGUGGGGUAACGGCGCACCAAGGCGACGAUCCCUAGCUGGUCUGAGAGGCUGACCAGCCACACUGGAACUGAGACACGGUGCAGACUCAUACGGGAGUCAGCAGUGGGGAAUAUUGCACAAUGGGCGCAAUCCUGAUACAGCCAUGCCGCGUGAAUGAAGAAGGCCUGCGGGUUGUAAAGUACUUUCAGCGGGGAGGCGUUACCCGCAGAAGAAGCACCGGCUAACUCCGUGCCAGCAGCCGCGGUAAUUC